UAGGGGAUUUGCGAUCACCUUUGCCAUCAAUCCGGCUGAAGGUGGGGAGCUAAAGCUCAACCUUGCUGCUACAACACAGGUCCUCCCUGAGAGAGCUCUCUCUCAGAGAGGCAUCCCCAUCGCCAUUCCCAUCUAUCUGAAUGGGGUGGGCAAAGCUAAAGCAGCAAUGGGUCUCUGACCACAACUUUCACCAUUCUUUCUUUCUCUUGUGCUUGUGAAAAUAAUGGUACUCCACCAACUAUUGAAGGCACAAGCACAACUUGUGAAAUGGGUUGUUAAAUUGUGGUGCUGCCAUUGUGGUUAUUUUAGUACUGAUACUAUUGUGUGCUGAAUCAAAGCGGAAGGGGGAGGGAAAUAAGUCAUAAGAGAGAAGAUGAUCUGAUUGACCAUAUUUUAGCUGCCAUGUAGCUGAGAUCAGCCAUAAUGUUGUCAUGUAUAAUAGAUGAGUUCUGAUACAAAUGUGACUGUGUGCACAUUAGUUUGAUUAUAUCAAGAUAAGGAUAAAGAUCUUGUUGUACAAGGCAAAUGGUUAACUAUUUGCUGCUAAAUAAACUCAAAAUAUUUAAUAACUUCUUUUUAAGAGAAUAAAUGAAAACAAGGAAUAAACAGUGCUCCCCUCCAUUGCCAUUAAAACCUUUGCCAAUGCUGCCAGUGAUCGAAAACUCUGGAAAACUUAAUUAUUUUACGUAAUGGACUUAUUACAAGUAAGAAAUUUGAUGAGUUCUAACAAAUCAAUUAUAAGAGACCAAACACUUGACAAAGUACAAGCAAUAUAAAAAAUACUUGGCUACAGACAGAACAGAUCUUGGGUUUCGCUAAAGAAAUUGUACAAGAUGCAACUAAUGUGAUGUUAUCACAAUUUUUGAAUAUAGAUGUUAUAAUAAAGGAAAUAUUGUAGAGGUUUUUGAUGUUAAAACAAUUUGGUGUUGGUAUUGAUUAAUAUUGUGUACAGUACCACAAUCACACCAAUAAUAGAGACCAAAAAAAUAUAUUCUUGAUGUCUUGGUUUUUAGGCUUGCUCCUGGGGUUUUGGGGGUGCUCAUUCAGAAAAUUGUAUUGGAUAGGCUGCAUCCACUCGCAGAUGGUGAUAGUAGAUGGCAUACGUUCUGUAUAUCAGAAACUAAAGCUGAUAGGAGGAAACUAGUGUCAUUUUUGGAAUGAGCAGGUGAAAUUUACCCAGAAACAAGGCUAGCAUUUGAGGCACCAAAAUGUGUGUUGGCCAGUGUAAUUGAUUUCUCCCAGGGUCAGGUAUUUUCAACCAAGGGCAGACGGAAAAUAUUUUGUCUCAGGUAAACAUCUGUUCUGGCUGACAGUUCAACCAGGUUGCUCUCAUCCCCUAGCAUGUUUUCUGGGUUUUAAUCUUAAAUAACGAAUAGGUCAAAUAAAGUGAUCCUUAUUUCAUCCAACUUCAUGUGUCUGGUCUCAAUAUUUCAGAAUUGUUCAUCAGAAUCCCAAGUCUUUAUGUGCCCAUUAAAGAUCCCCUGUCUCUGUUUUUAUGUGCCUUCAAGUCAUCUCCAGUUUAUGAUUAUCUUAUCACAGGAUUUUCUUGACAAUACUUGUUCUGCUAAAAAAUAUUUCAAAGCCUGCUCUCACAUAGUCCAACACUCAAGCCACUACACCACAUUGGCUCAACUGCCUACAGUAACAUAAUUUAUGAAGAAUAAUUCACCCAAAUAGUUAUGUUAUAUUUUCACAUUCACCAAAGUUCUGUUAAGGCAUUAGGUUUGGAAAGAAACAUGUCUGAGGAGCAGCUUGGCUUUGUGUGGAGCAUCACCCCAUGAGCAAGGACACUGAGAGAUGGGCAAACAGGGUCAUUGCUUUGUUGCUCUUCAGAUGAAUCAUAAGGAAAGUGAGGAGACUCCCACCUCCCUUAUUCACCUUUCAAAUUGAUAGGAAAUUUUAACUUUUGUGUCAGCAUUACACAUUGCCCUCAAGGCUACACUUACGUGCAAAAAUGUCAGAGUGAAUUGUCCAGAACACAAAUAGAGCAGGAAGUGUAUCACAGCAGUUUCCCAUGAUUGCAGAGGGCAUAAACAUUCUAAACAAUUAUAGCCCUUGCUGCUGGCUGUUUCCAUUAGCAACCUGGUUAACAUGACAUUCUUCUAAGACUUAGCAGAAGUAUCUUGGUUAUUUUGAUAAAUUUUAGCCUUGCAAAUCAAGCUCCACUCCAAACCCUUUCACUGCUACUGUCGUAUAUACUGUGGGACUGGAGUCUCCAUGAUUAGAAGCAAUCAUUAUAUACAAAGUAACUUAAAGACGGAGACCAUUUUUCUAUGAGUAGGGAUUUCAUUAAUUAAAGAUGCUUUCUAUUGAUCAUAUAGGGAGUAGUAUAUUGGAUAGCCAUUUUAAGAACUGGUAUUUUAUUUAAAAUCAAAAACCUCUUUCCCCAGACCUAAAUAAAAUUCAGCAAAUCACUGUCUGUGUGUACAAAACAAAUAGGGGUAUUUUUUUCCUAUUUGAGCGAGUAAUAGUAUGCCGACAAAGAUACCCAGGGCAUGUUCCCUAUUUGUCUCUGUAACAUUUGGCAGGAAGAAAACACAUUUGCUGUUCUAGGUAUACAUCAGAAAUGGAUAUUGAAAGUAGGCUGAAUCACACAAUGUAUUCACUGAACAGAAAUUAAUUAUCACCUUAAAACAACUGCUUUGUUGUUCUUUGAGUUGGAGGUAACACUGGGCAUGGUGAAUGGAAAUACUAUUGAGUUGUAGUUUUGAUUCCAAUAAAUCUCACAUUCUCAUCCAAAUUGAACUAAUUCAGAUGGAUUUGACAGCUGUUUGGAUUGUGCAGGUAUACCUCUGCAGUGGAUCGAAUGUCAUUGUGAAAGUUCAUUAGCAAUGUCUGUUUCAGAGGACAUUGCUAAUUUGGUUGUGGGUCCAGGGCCAUUUUCUUGUAUCUGCAAGUCACUCUAGGCUGCACUCGCUUCCAGAGCAAAACAAAAUACAAACUUGGUAGUGUCUGAAAAUCAUCAUCUGAAUUUGACAAAUGGGUUUGUUAAAUGAAGUCGGGAGUGCUUCCUGAAGAAACAACUCAAUUUUUUUUUUGCUAGAAAAAGGAUAGUCAUGGAAAUUCUAGGGUCAAUGAGCUUCCCAUAAACUGAAACACACACACACACACACACAGAGGGGGAGAGAGCCUCUGGAUAUAGAGGCAAGAUGGUGUGUCUCCAAAAGCUGGCACAUAGAGCCCCGUGGUAGUGAGAGGAGAUCCAGUAUAGUGUGGUGGUAUAAGCAUAGGCAACAACUCUGAGGACCAGGCUUUGAAUCUCCCACUGCAGAAACCCCUUGAGUGAUUUUAUCAGGACUCUUCAGCAGAAAUAUUUAUUCUAAUAUAGCACAGGGACAACUCACUCUUUGUGGCUUUUUUGUUUUUACUUCCGGAAGGAGAAUGGCUAAAACUCUUCUGGUGUUGUCUCAAAGUUUUAAGGAGGUGCAGUUACAUCUAACUCUGUUACUGUAUGUGCAACAUAAUCUAUCCCUACUAAUUUUAUUAUUGUUUUUAUUUGCUAUCAAGUCAACUUCAACUACAAGGACUCCAUGAAUGGAGAACCUUCAAGAACCUCGAUCAUCAGUUGCCAUGAUCAUGUCUUAAACUCAGGAAUGUAGCUUCCUUGAUUGAAUCAAACCACCUGUAGUAUGCUCCCCUACGUUCCCUUUCUGUUUUAGUUAAAGUUCUGGCUUGAUAUGCUUUAAGUCAUUUAUUUGUCUUUUUAAAGCAUUCCAUACUAUCUAUAGAUGUCUCUCCCAGCACUACAUUUCAAAUGAGUUGAUUUGAUGGUGGAAUUUCACCUACAUAAGGUUACACAACAGGGACAUGAUCUUGUUCUCUCUCCCUUGAUACUUGAUUUAUGUUUGGAGGUUUCAGCAUGUGCAAUUAGGCAGAGCCCAUCAGUGUUAUAUGCUGAUGAUUUUUUCUUAUUUAUCUCUUGACUGAAAUUUUCAUAAAAGAUUCAAAGUCUAUAAAAUGAAUCAAUAUUUUGGGGGCUCUUUCUGGCUAGUUUGUCAACUGGUUCAAAUCAAACGUUAGGCUGUGUUGUCAAAAGCUUUCAUGGCCGGGAUCACAGGGUUGUUGUCCUUCGGGCUGUGUGGCCAUGUUCCAGAAGUAUUCUCUCCUGACGUUUCACCCACAUCUAUGGCAGGCAUCCUCAGAGGCUGUGAGGCAUGGAUAAACUAGGCAAGGAAAGGAAAAAAACGUUAGGCUCAUUGCGAAUAAUACUACAUAUCAGCCGCUUUCCAGCUGGUAGGUUUUUUUGUGUUGCCCAAGAACUAUUAGAUAUUUAGGCCUACUGCUGGCCCUCCUUAUCCACAGAAUCUGCAUCCAUGGUAUCAACCAUCCACAGCUUGAAAAAUAUUUAAAAAUUCAAAAAGUGAACCUUGAUAAUGAAUACCAUUUUACUACAUUAUUGUAUAUAGUAGGGCAUGAGCAUCCAUGGAUUUUGGUACCCACAAGGGGUCCUGGAACCAGACUCCAGUGGAUACCAAGAACCCACUGUAUGAGUUCCUCUGGCUAUGAUGUAAAUUUAUACAUGAAAGCUGUUCUGCAUUGUUUGCACAAAUAUUUCUUGAUAUAGAUAGGUGGCAACAAAUAAAGCAUUUGGAGUAAGGUUAAUAUGCAGAAGAUGAAUGUUCUACUGUGCAUAUUGCGUGUUCUUCAGACUAUUGGAUAGUAUAGUACUCAUUUCCCCCCAUAAAGUUAUUAUUGUAUUCAGUAUAUUUUAUAUGGGGAUCAUUAUCACCUUGUUUCUCACACAAAAUGAUAGAACUAUUUUUCAUGAGGUUUAUUUAAUUCCCCAUAUUUGGGUUAAUAUCAUAAUCCAUAUCUAUCAAUUUGAAUUUUAAAAAUGGCAAAUACAGUCUAAUUCACACACUUCUACUUGGGCAAGCUUGGAAUGAACUUACUUGGACUUCUUUUUGUAUGGGCUGACUUGUGUUCUGUUCAUAAAUAAUAAAGUAAGUUUCUUCUUUCAGGUUACCUUGGAGUACAAUUUUUUAUCAAUUACAAUUUGAUUCAUAUGAUGAUGUUAAAUUAACUAUGGGAUAAACUGCAGGGUGCACGAUAGUCUAUUUUAUGGAAGAACUGUGUUGAUUGUGGGAUUUAUACUUUGAAUCAAUUGUUACAUGCAAAUUAAGAAUUGUUGCUUUGUUCAAUAUUGCAAAUCACUUGUUGGUCACUUGUGAAUGCAUGGUGGCAAUAUUUACAGUCAUAACACUUUUUGGUUCCUAUAUAUGAUCAUCAGCUUUCAGAGCUUCAGUCAUUCCUCCUGUACUGAAAGUAUUAUUUAUAUUGGAGUAAAUAAAACCAACCAGUUUAGAUUACAGUCUGUUGGAAGAGACUAAAUUUGAUGUUAAUAAAUAUAAUGGAAUGAAAUCCAGAGUUGGAACAGUCUAUCAACUGAUAUGAUUAAUCACAGAAUUCAGGAUACAAUUUGGUCUCACAGCCCUAACUGAACAUGCCAAUGUAUACUUACUAGUUUUAAUGCUUGCCUUUUCUUUGGAUUAUAAAAUUGUCAGCUAGAAGUCACCAUAACCUAUACAGGACUAUGAUCAUUAUAGCCACAAAUUUCCACACAUCACAAAUAAUAUGAAUUUUAAAAAAACCAAAUAUCACUGUUUAUGACACUUCUUUUUGAUACCCAAAGUUAGAAUCUGUUUUCUACAGGUUUCUGGUCUGCCUUUACUAGAAGACAUCCAGCAAAAGCUUGACAAGAAUUUAGGCUAUACAGAUAUCAGAUGAGUAAGCUCUGUGUGGCUUCUUGAGAUGUUCCUGGAAAAUGACAGUAUUUGCUGCUUUAUCCUUUUGAAAUUUAUGGCGCUACAGUACAAAACAAGCUGAAAUUGCACAAGACAAUGGCUUCAGGGUGCCACUAGAAGAGACGAAUCAAUAAAAUGCUGUAGCAAGAUGGAAAGAAAUAUAUGAAUUCUGCUAUGAAAUGUUAUUUACUAUUCAGGACCCGACAACAAAUAUUUUGAGAGAUUUCAUCCUUUUUCUUUUAAUCUUCCCUGAACUACUUCACCCAGACAUGUAGAGUCAGAAGAAAACAUGGAAUAAAGCAUGCUGACAUUUGUCCACCUGUCUUCCCAAGAUAUUUUCAGGAUUUUUCAAAGGCAACACUGAUGGAGUAUUUCCAGGAGUUGAGUAUGACGUCUGUAGGCAGUCCAUGUUUCACAGAAAAGUCACAUUCUCUCAGUCUCAGAGGAAGACAAAGACAAAUCCCCUUUGAAUAAAUCUUGACAAGAAAAUCUUGUGAUAGGUUGCCUUAGGGAAACGUUUCUCAUCGUGGAGGUUGGGACCCCUGGGGGGGGGGUCAUGAGGGGGUGUCAGAGGAGUCACCAAACAAUACCAGAAAACACAUAUUUUUGAUGGUCUGAGGAACACCUUUGGCAGAGAAGGCUGAAGAUCUCUCCGACUGUUCUCUUCCUUUUUGGAAAUAGAUGGCGAAUCCUCUCUCCAAACGUAUUCAAAUUUGGGUGUAUUGGGUAUUUGCCAAAUUUGGUCCAGUGAAUGAAAAUACAUCAUGCAUAUCGGAUAUUUACAUUGCGAUUCAUAACAGUAGCAAAAUUACAGUUAUGAAAUAGCAAUGAAAAUAAUUUUAUAGUUGGGGGUUACCACAUUAGGAGGAACUGUCUUAAGGGGUUGAGAACCACUGCCUUUGGGUCUCCCUGAGUCUGAAAUGAUAUGAAGGCACAUAACAACAACAAUCCUAAUUAAUCAUUAAUUAUACCAUUCCUGGAAAGUAAGAUGCUAAAAACCUAUUUGUGGUCCAAGAGGCUUAGCCUAUUUCAUUUUGGCCCCUUACUACUCCCAUAUUGUGUAGACUUGUUCUAAUAUGUGAUUGUUCUGACAUCCUCAUGCUAUCCCAACCUAAGACAGGACCUAAGCUAAGGGGAGGGCAAUUUCAUAACCUAAGAAUAGUUCAAUCCAGACCACACCUCACAAAAUAAACAAGCACAACUCAUUGGCUCAAGGUUUUUCUCUGUGAUGUUCUGAGAUGUGCUUUCAUUGUUCAUUAGGAUCUUGUUUGUUUGCUGAAUUUAUUGUCUGUCCUUUUAUCUCAGGAUUGGAUUGAAGGCAGACAAAGCAAUGAUUUGUUGCCAUUGGAAAAUGUGAAUGAAGCUAGUAUCAUCUCAUUUAUUGGCAAGUAUUGUAAAGAACAGUGCAACCAUCCUUGUGGUCCAGUGCAAGAAGAAAUGGAUGAUAAUUGUGGCCAUGCCAUUCCUAAAUGCAGCUAAAGUUCAACAGGGGCAAGACAAGUUAAUAGAUGAGUUGGAAAGUAACAGGAGGAGCUGGAAAAAUCCUGCCCAAAAGACUAGAGAGUCAAUAGUGCUGAGGUAGAUAUAACAAUGGCUUGACUCAGUAUAAAACAGCUUCCUGGGUGAUGAAAAAUGCUGAUAGGAAGAUCAACUCAUGAAUUCUGAACAAGAAUUCUAUGAAUGCCCUAGACAGCUAAAAAGACAAAUAAAUGGGUCCUAGACUGAAGACUUUAUCACACGAGUGGCUGCAAGCAUUGUAGGAUAUUUGCAGCACAACUGAUCAAUGGAGCUCCAUGUGGCACAGGCUGUUAGUAGCCAGCUGCAAUAAAUCACUAUGACCAAGAGGUCAUGAGUUCGAGGCCAGCCCAUGUUGGAGUGAGCAUCUGACUGUUAAAAUAAAAAAUAGCCCUGCUUGUUGUUGACCUAAGCAACAUGAAAGAUAGUUGCAUCUAUCAAGAAGGAAAACUAUGUGGUGAGACUAAUUUAACUAAUUUACAACACCAUAAAAAAAUCGCCCAGCAGCGUUUGGAAUGAGAAAGUCAGCGUCACAGUGGAUGAUGAAGCAGCUGCUCCCCCUGUGGCCCGAAUCGAGCAUACCCUCAGGAAGCUGGAAGCUGGAGAAGGAUAAAUUGCCUCUGUGGCUCUGUCUCUGUCUCUGAAUAUUUGCCAUAUAUGUGUACAUUGUGAUCUGCCCUGAGUCCCCUUUGGGUUGAGAAUAUAAAUACUGCAAAUAAAUAAAUAAAUAAAUAAAUAAAUAAAAUGCCGCCCAUCCCAUGACACAUACUCACUGGGGAGGCUCCAUCAACCAACGGUGACAUAAACAUCCCAUGAUAUUUGCACAGAACAAUGGGGUCACUGUGGGGAGAAGUCAUGUGGUGGUACUUCACCAUCAUAUGUGGCUGGCUGCGGGUGAGGUGGGGCAUGGGGCAACAGGAUUGCCCCACUGCCCCAUGCAUUUGCCACAGAGGCUGGCAAAUUGCCCCACUGGGGCUCAUCAAUACGAUGAGGUCCUAAAUCAGGCGAGAAUUCUUCCUAGAAUGGCUAAAAUGAGGCUGUCAUACUUUAGCCAUAUUAGGAAAAGAUGACUCACUAGAAAAUAUGAUAAUGAUUGAAUAAGUGAAAGCAGUUGGGGAAAAGGAAGAUCACUUUCCAGAUGGAUAAACUCAAUCAGAACAGCAACAGCCAUGAGUUUGCAAUAACUGAACAGGGCUGUUGAGGACAGGAUUUCUUGGAAGUCUCUUAUUCAUUGGGUCACUGUGAGUCAAAGUCAACUUGAAAGCAGUUAACAACAAAUGUUCCCAUUAUCCCUUUGCCAUGGCAACAUGAGGAAGUGUUCACUUCCUUUCAAUGAGAAUAAUGUCACUUUGGUUGCCCUUGGUAUACAAUGAAGUCAAAUCUGCUCAGUAGUUGUCAUUGUAUCUCACUCCCCCUUAUAUUCCCUGAUGGGGUAGGAUCAUGUAAUGCUGCUGACAUUUUUAAAGCAGAAAAAAACAACAACAAUAUUGCUUCAACCAAUGAUAAGAAAACACCCCCCUUACUUUGGGUUUUAUCAUGGGAAACUUCAUCCCUCUUCCCCACAUUUUUGUUCAUGUCUAAAGAUUUUUGAAGUUCUUGUCUCUGCCUUACUUAAUUAACUGUCACUUAAUAUGAGGGCUGGGACCUGUGAAAUCAAAAUCUGUGGAUUUUGAUAAUGGUAAAUAAAACUUUCUGUCAGAAGAAACACACUGAUCAUUCAUUCAGUAACUCCAUUGAGACAAAAAUAGAUGUGGACACUCAAGAUACUGUCAAUUAGAUGAAAAAUUUUAUUAGGGUAUUUUUUAAAAUUCUUCCUAUGGAAAAAAUCAAGUGGUUUACACUAUACAAGUAUAAUAGAAACCAUAACUCAAACAACAAAGAUUCUGCCCUAGAAAAUGUAUUUUUGUAGCACUCUAAGUGACAGAAAAGGAUUUGUUAAAAAGCUGUGCUCUGCUGCUGUACAUGUUGGGAAUGGGAAGAAAUGCCUAUUAAUAUGAAUUCUGCACAGAGGGCAAUGCAUCUUAUUGAUGCUUUUGCUGUGGGCUUCAUUAAAGACCCACAAAGUUGCUGUUUUUUAAAUAAAAAGUUAUUCAGCAUACUCUCAGUCCUUCUUUUCCUGUAUGUUCAUAUAUAUGUGAUGUAUGGAUUUCACCAGCAAAAUAUCUGAGAAGUGGAAUAUUUGAAUUGGAAAGGAUAUUCAAGUCAUAAAUUAAACAGCAGCUCUUUUUGAUCAUUUACUUGAGAGAAGCACAUUUACAUUUUCAAAUGUGAUCAUUUAUUAAAGUAGUUUGGGCAAAGGCAUUGAAAAAGAAUUUGGCUUGCCUGUCAGAGCUCAUGCUCACAAUUUCAUGACCGUUAUAUCCUCAAGAAUCAAUCUUUGCAUUUAUUUAUUUUUCUCUAGCUCUUGCUGUAGAUCUUUUAUUUUUUUGUGCAUGUGCAAAAUUAUAAUUACUGGAAAUUGUUUUUGAUGAUCAUCCCCAAGGCAUACAGUGAGUUAGCAUCCAUAUUUAGAAAUUCUAGCUUAACCCAACUGAACCAUUACAAUAUUUUUCCUACUUGGCCUCCAUUAUUAGAUUGUAAUGAUUCUUUUGCCUUUAGCUCUCUGUACAUCUUAAUUAAUGCCUUAGGAGAGAAUGUUGUAUUGCUUUUAAUUCUUUGAAUGUGUGCAUAAACUCUUGUCACUGGAAAAGUAAUAAAUAAAUUUUAAAAAUCUGCAUAUUUGCCAAAUUAACACAAAUGGAU